AGUCGAGCGAUGAAAGUUGUUCAGAUCCUUCGGGUGACGAACUUCUGGAUUAGCGGCGAACGGGUGAGUAACGCGUGAGGAACCUGCCUCUCACAACGGGAUAGCCUCGGGAAACCGGGAUUAAUACCGUAUGACACUAUCAGAUGGCAUCAUCAGGUAGUUAAAGUGCUAGCGGUGAGAGAUGGCCUCGCGUCUGAUUAGUUAGUUGGUGGGGUAACGGCCUACCAAGACGACGAUCAGUAACCGGCCUGAGAGGGUGAACGGUCACAUUGGAACUGAGACACGGUCCAAACUCCUACGGGAGGCAGCAGUGGGGAAUCUUGCACAAUGGGGGAAACCCUGAUGCAGCGACGCCGCGUGAGCGAUGAAGGUUUUCGAAUCGUAAAGCUCUGUCCUAUGGGAAGAUAAUGACGGUACCAUAGGAGGAAGCCCCGGCUAACUACGUGCCAGCAGCCGCGGUAAUACGUAGGGGGCGAGCGUUGUCCGGAAUUACUGGGCGUAAAGGGUUCGCAGGCGGCAUGACAAGUCCGAUGUAAAAGGCGAAAGCUCAACUUUCGUAAGCAUCGGAAACUGUCAAGCUUGAGUGAAGGAGAGGCAAGUGGAAUUCCUAGUGUAGCGGUGGAAUGCGUAGAUAUUAGGAGGAAUACCGGUGGCGAAGGCGACUUGCUGGACUUCAACUGACGCUGAGGAACGAAAGCGUGGGUAGCAAACAGGAUUAGAUACCCUGGUAGUCCACGCCGUAAACGAUGAGUGCUAGGUGUCGGGGGUCAAACCUCGGUGCCGUCGUUAACACACUAAGCACUCCGCCUGGGGAGUACGUGCGCAAGCAUGAAACUCAA
rnacentral:rRNA from 1 species